rnacentral:sRNA from 1 species
UAAUUUAUUUUGCGGAUUACAGUAAUGCUUUUGUUGGCCUGUUGUAUGACAAACUAUUUAAAGGUUCACAUUUUGAUUUGUAUUUGCCAACAAGCCCUGUUGCUUGUUAAAGCUAUAGCUAACUCUCAGGAGAUAAUUGCAGUUCUACUCUUAGAGGAUGGUGUCUUUCAAAUAAUGUCUUGUCUGCUGAUUUUCAGUAAUGUUAAUAUAAGGUAAAAGGGAUAUUGUUUACUAUACGUAGCAAUUUUUUUAGACAGAGUCUUACUCUGUCGCCCAGGCUGGAGUACCAGUGGCGGGAUCUUGGCUCACUGCAACCUCCACUUCCCGGGUUUGAGCAAAUCUCCUGCCUUAGCCUCCCAAGUAGCUGGGACUACAGGCACACGGUACUAUGCCCGGCUAAUUUUUGUAUUUUUAUUAGGGACGGGGUUUCACUACAUUGGCCAGACUGGUCUUGAACUCCUGACCUUAUGAUCUGCCUGCCUCGGCCUACCAAAGUGCUGAGAUUACAGGAUUUUUUUUUUUAAGUAUGAUUAUGUACCAUUGUAUCAUAGUAAAACUAGCCAAAGAAAUUUAUGAAAGGAUAAAAAAAUGAUUCUGGCCAUAAAAGGUGUAGUAUAUUUUGGUGGGUUCUUAAGCCAGCAUGAUAAUGGCGAGUUUUUUUCUUCUCAGGAGGAAAAAAAGCAAGAGCAGAAGUCGUAGUCAUGAACGAAAGAGAAGCAAAAGUAAGGAACGGAAGCGAAGUAGAGACAGAGAAAGGAAAAAGAGCAAAAGCCGUGAAAGAAAGCGAAGUAGAAGCAAGGAGAGGCGACGGAGCCGCUCAAGAAGUCGAGAUCGAAGAUUUAGAGGCCGCUACAGAAGUCCUUACUCCGGACCAAAAUUUAACAGUGCCAUCCGAGGAAAGAUUGGGUUGCCUCAUAGCAUCAAAUUAAGCAGACGACGUUCCCGAAGCAAAAGUCCAUUCAGAAAAGACAAGAGCCCUGUGAGAGAACCUAUUGAUAAUUUAACUCCUGAGGAAAGAGAUGCAAGGACAGUCUUCUGUAUGCAGCUGGCGGCAAGAAUUCGACCAAGGGAUUUGGAAGAGUUUUUCUCUACAGUAGGAAAGGUGCGAGAUGUGAGGAUGAUUUCUGACAGAAAUUCAAGACGUUCCAAAGGAAUUGCUUAUGUGGAGUUCGUCGAUGUUAGCUCAGUGCCUCUAGCAAUAGGAUUAACUGGCCAACGAGUUUUAGGCGUGCCAAUCAUAGUACAGGCAUCACAGGCAGAAAAAAACAGAGCUGCAGCAAUGGCAAACAAUUUACAAAAGGGAAGUGCUGGACCUAUGAGGCUUUAUGUGGGCUCAUUACACUUCAACAUAACUGAAGAUAUGCUUCGUGGGAUCUUUGAGCCUUUUGGAAGAAUUGAAAGUAUCCAGCUGAUGAUGGACAGUGAAACUGGUCGAUCCAAGGGAUAUGGAUUUAUUACAUUUUCUGACUCAGAAUGUGCCAAAAAGGCUUUGGAACAACUUAAUGGAUUUGAACUAGCAGGAAGACCAAUGAAAGUUGGUCAUGUUACUGAACGUACUGAUGCUUCGAGUGCUAGUUCAUUUUUGGACAGUGAUGAACUGGAAAGGACUGGAAUUGAUUUGGGAACAACUGGUCGUCUUCAGUUAAUGGCAAGACUUGCAGAGGGUACAGGUUUGCAGAUUCCGCCAGCAGCACAGCAAGCUCUACAGAUGAGUGGCUCUUUGGCAUUUGGUGCUGUGGCAGAAUUCUCUUUUGUUAUAGAUUUGCAAACAAGACUUUCCCAGCAGACUGAAGCUUCAGCUUUAGCUGCAGCUGCCUCUGUUCAGCCACUUGCAACACAAUGUUUCCAACUCUCUAACAUGUUUAACCCUCAAACAGAAGAAGAAGUUGGAUGGGAUACCGAGAUUAAGGAUGAUGUGAUUGAAGAAUGUAAUAAACAUGGAGGAGUUAUUCAUAUUUAUGUUGACAAAAAUUCAGCUCAGGGCAAUGUGUAUGUGAAGUGCCCAUCAAUUGCUGCAGCUAUUGCUGCUGUCAAUGCAUUGCAUGGCAGGUGGUUUGCUGGUAAAAUGAUAACAGCAGCAUAUGUACCUCUUCCAACUUACCACAACCUGUUUCCUGAUUCUAUGACAGCAACACAACUACUGGUUCCAAGUAGACGAUGAAGGAAGAUAUAGUCCCUUAUGUAUAUAGCUUUUUUUCUUUCUUGAGAAUUCAUCUUGAGUUAUCUUUUAUUUAGAUAAAAAUAAAGAGGCAAGGAUCUACUGUCAUUUGUAUACAAUUUCCUGUUACCUUGAAAAAAUAAAAAUGUUAACAGG